GACGCUUUAUGCGUUACCUGCUUUAAAUACCCUGCUGGAAUGACACCCGAAAUCAUGCCUUAAUAUAGCCCUGAAUGUGGCUCCGAAUCUAAAGCAGGCAAUUUUACUGUAGCUUUUAGCACCACCUUUCCGAAGCUCUCAAGGCAACAACAGGAGCCAUAUAUGAAUACAUCCAGAUAAGUUUUUGGCUAGAAAGUCAGUAAAGUAAAUGCUGGAAGGGCCAUUCCGAAGCCGUUGACUGGUUUGCACCUCGAAUUGGGAAACCACGUCUCAUCACCAUUAUGAAAUUAUAAAUGUGGGGAGUUGGAAUUGACUAACGACUUGGUCCUAACAUGUCCUCAGCGAUCCAAACAAUCGUUUAAAAUAAUAUAUUAUUAUGAAAAUUUCAAAAUGGCUCUGCCGUGUAUUGAAAUAAAUAAAUAAAAUAAAU